UCGAACCAUAAUCCUCAAGGAUGCUAGUCAGAUUUGUUUCCCCUGCGCCACAAUGGGAACUCCCUGUUCUGAAGGUUAAAUGACUUAUAAGUAGACGCUUAGAAAAAUGCCUGGCAGGUAGCAAGAACUACUUAAGUGUUAUUACACACCCUUCUGUUCUCAAUUAAGAUCAUUUCUUCUGAGAGAGUUCCCUGAGACAGUAGUAGCUCAAGCCAAUCUGUAUUACCAUAGGAGCCCAUACUUUUCCAUGUGAUUCUUGUCAUCAUUUGCUGUUGGUAUUUAAGGCACUUAAUCUGUUUUCUCCCAUGAAGCUGUAAGCUCCAGAAGGGCUAGAAUCUGCCAGGCUCCACACUCUAUCUCCGACAUUUGGUUCAGAGCCCAGCACGAGGCAGUCACUUGGUGAGUGUUAGAAUGACUGAAUCUGGGGUGACCUGUCUUUAAACAUGCUGAGAUGGGGUAACAGGUAAUUAUUUUGUUAGUUUUUACAAUUUUCUCAUUUUUAAACAAUAUGUUUUCUUUAUGUAAUAAAGAAAAAAAGUGAAAUUCUUUUAUACCAACUUUAUGUGCUAUUGUAAGUCACUGCAGUAAGGCAGCAAGAGGCCUGUAGGAGAAUUAUGUUACUAAAUUCUGGUUUGGCUCCUUGCUGUUAGAAAGCCAGUACUUGAGAGGCAAGUGUAGGUUGGAAAAGGAAAGUUUUACUCAGAAGGCUGGCGACCUGGAAGUACCUGCCCCAGAACCAAUUCCUCUGAAGACUCUGCUUGGCCAUGAAAGAUUUUAAAGGUAAAAAGAGGAAGGAAUCUCAGAUCAUCAUUGAGGGAGGGGGUCAGAUUAUUUGCCAUCCCCCACUGGCUUGUGGUGUCCUUGUAAUCUCUUAAACGCUAUCCUGUUCCCACCGUCUGCUCUCGAGAUUACUGAAGGGGCAGCUGGAAGAUCUAGUCAUGUGUUCAUUAUGCAUUCUUCAUUUCCACGUCUUUAAGAAUUAACAGGUUAGGCGAGGCGUUGUGUGAGCAAAAGUUUUGAAAGGGUGUGCUUGGGUCAGAGGUUAGUUAAGCCUCAGGCAUCUGGUGUAAGGGUUAGUCAAAAUGUAGCUUUGCUCAAGUGACAAGACAAAAGGCCUCCUGCUGAGAGCUGCUUCCUGCAAAGAGUUGCUUAUACUCCACGUUUUAUUUUGCUGGAACUUUGGAGUAGAUUAGAGGUUUUCAGUAGGGAGUGAUGACCCCUAGAAGAGACUUCUGGAGAUGUUUGGAGACACAUUUUUGUGUGUUUGUUUUGUUUUCUCCAUUGAGGAGGUGCUAAAUGGUACCUAAUGUGCUAGAUGGAGGAUGAGGAUACCUCUGAAUAUCCUACAACACACAGGAGAGCCUCCUCCUUUAAGGAAAACCAUCCAGUCUGAAAUGUUAACAGUGCCAAGUUGGAGAAAAUUUCGCUUCCGUGGAGACUUCUAUAGAAAUUUGCAGUGAUUCCUCCAAGGACUCUCCAAGGCUGCAGUCAUCACCAUUUGUGAGAGCUACUUUGGGCUUUGAGUCUUCAUUGCUUUAAAAUCAGGGAAGUAUAAUUUUGGAGUAUUAUUUAAAUAUUUAUGCAUGCAAUUUAACAAGAUUUGUUGAGUAUCAACUAUGUGUUAAGCACUAUGCUAAGCACUGUGGAUACAAGAGUCAAUUAUGUAAUUCCUGAUGUCAAGGAACUCAUGUAGUAGGAAGGUUGGCACAUAAAUCUGUAAAGCAGUAUAUGAAAUGCUCUAUCUGCACUGUGAAAGCCACUGUUAAAGAAUAAAAUACAUGUUUUGGAUUUGAAGAAAAUCUUUGCAGAGAACACAUUUAAUAAUGUAUUGUCCCCCAAAUACACAAGGGACACUUAAAAGCUCAAUAAUAAGAAAAACAGCCCACUUUAAAAAUGGGCAAAUGCUGUGAACAGACAACUCAGCAAAGAAGAUGUAUAGAUGGCAAAUUAGCAUAUAAAAAGAUACAUACCAUCAUAUUUCAACAGAGAAUUGCAAAUAAAAACAAGAUACCACUGCAUACCUAUUAGAAUGACUAAAAUCUAAGACACUUGACAACAUCAAAUGCUGGUAAGCAGGUGGAGCAAGAAGAACUCUCAUUCAUUGCUGUCUUGAUCCAGCAACCACACUUACUGUGAGUUGAUUCGAAUUACCCCCAAAGAUAUGUUGAAAUCCAAACUCUCAGUACUUUGGAAUGUGAUUUUGUGUGGAAACAGAGUCUUUACAGAAGUUAUCAAGUUAAAAUGAUGUCAUUAAUUUGAGCCCUAAUCCAACAUGACUGAUGUUCUUAUAAAGCAGGAAAAUUUGAACACAGUGAUAGACUUCACAGAAUAAAGAGAAAGUGAUGACAUAGAGGAAAACACUGCAUGAAGAAGACAGAGAUUGGAGUAAUGCAUCUACAAGUCAAGGAACACAAAAGACUGCCACCUAUCACCAAAUGCUAGGAGAGCAACAUGGAAUAAAUUCUUGGUCAUACAUCUCAGAAGGAACCCAUCCUGUUGACUCCUUAAUUUCAGACUCCUAACCUCCAACACAGUGAGACAAUACAUUUUUGUUGUUCUUAGGCACCCAGUUUGUGGUACUUUGUUUCAGCAGCCCUAGGAAACUAAUACAGAGCUGCUGAGUAUUCAAAUGAAUUCAAAACUUAUGUUCACACAAAAAACUGGCAACUUUAUUCAUAAUCACCAAAAUUUGGGAGCAACCAUAUGUCCUUUUGUAGGUGAAUGAAUAAACUUUGAUGCAUCUAAGCAAAAGAAUAUUUUUCCAUGAUAAAAAAAAUGCAAUAGCAAGCCAUGAAAAGAUAUGGAGGAACUUUAAAUGCAUAUUGCUAAGUGACAUAAACCACCCUGAAAAGGCUGUAUUCUGUAUAAUUCCAAUAAUAUGACACUCUGAAAGAGGCACAACUCUAGAGACAAGACAGUAAAUGAUCAGUGGUUGGUUAGGAUUGAGCAAGAGCAAAGGAAGGAGAACAGGUGGAGAAGAGGUGACUUGCAGAGAAGUGAAACUACUAUCUGAUACUGUUAUGGGGCAUAUAAAACAUUAUGCAUUUUUCAAAAUUCAUGAAACUGUAGCACAAAGAGUGAACCCUAGUGUCUUCUAUGGUUUUAAUAAUGAAAAUGUAUCAUCAUGUAAUGAAGGUUCCAUAAUAGCAAAUUGUUAAUAACUGGGGAAGCUGCAUUUGGGGGUGUGGGGAGAGGGAAAAAGAGAGUGUCUAGGAUUCUCUGAUCUUUCUGCUCAAUUCUCAGUAAACCUUAAACUGCUCAAAACACUGGUCUAUUAAUUAAGAACAAUACCCUUUAACAUUUAGUAGUUGUGUGUCCUUGGAUGGUUUAUCUUCCCUGAGACUUUGUUGUCUCUUCUGAAACAAAGGACUAAUAACAGAACAAUUUUAUAGGGUUGUUGUGAAAAUUAAAUGUGCUAAGAUAUGUAAAUCACUUAGCACAGUGCCUUGUACUUGAUGGGUACUCAAGCAUGUGGCUAAUUAUUUAAAAAGUCAGUGUUUCCUAGAUGUCACAUAUUUGCAUUUGUUUUUGAAAUGGAAGUUCCUGACAUAACUAGAUGCUAGUCUGUUAGAAAUUUAAUAUAUACAUUAGCAUAGAGUUUAAUUUCAUUACAUUUCACUUUGGGUCUGCGAUUGGUACAUAGUGUUGAGACAGUCAUCUUAAAUGAGAGAAUCUACUGGUAAUAUUGUCCAACAGGAGCUAAAGGACCUCAUGCAGCCCCUUGACCUUAUGUAGCAGAUUCAAAAGUAGUGUGAAAUUUACCAAGUGGAGUUACUACAGCAGCUAACUGUGGACACAUAUUAAAUGCCUUAUCCCUAGUGUUCUAUUAAAACAAUCCUGUUCAGACAGAUAAGGAUUUAGAACCAUAUUAGUGCACGUAUUAGAUCUUUAGGGAUGUUUAAUAAUGGCUUUUACCUUCUUAUUUUAUUACAAAUCUUGGCUUUAUGAGCAGGUGAGGUUGAAAAAUCAGCUUUAUGUUGUCUAACUCAAUUUUCAAACCUUAGCAACAUAAAGCUUACAGACUGGUAGCAGCAUUUGUAAAUUAAAGAUUGCUUUAAUCUUCAGUGACAGAGAUUUAUGAAAUAUUGCUUUAAAUUUGUGCUUCAUGUGGUAAAGCAAAUUGAAUUUAUUUUAUAGACAAAGGGAACUUGAAGAAACUCAUAGAUUACUUUGGCCACUGAAGGGUAUAAAUUAGGUCUAACUAAAUUUUGUCACUACUGUAUGUUGAGCUAUUUAGAUAAAACAUGUUUUUGACAUUUAUUGCAAAGUGAUACCUUCUUCUAGACUCCUGCAUUCUCUAGAGUUAAGUGUAGAAUGAAUCAUUGAGGGAAUUAGUGAUCCUCCUCUCAACAUGAAUUGCAUUAGCCAAGGAUGUGAAAAUUUGAAAGUAUUUUUCUAAGUAAAUUACUGUGAGAAGGUAUCCAAAACUAUUAUGAUGAAUUUGAGGCAUGCCAAAAUAUUAUUCAACCCACAUGCAUAAUUCUUAGGCAAAUUCACUGCCAUUAUUUAGGAUUUUUAAUGUAUAUUCAUUUCCACAGGAUAUAAUCCCAUGUAGAGACAAAGUAAGUAAAUCAUUGUGAUAAUGGUACUUGCUCUCUGAGGUAAAGCAGUUCUUAACAGAGCAUGAGGCUCUCUUAAUGGACAUCCCACCACCACCCUUGCUGUUCCUGUUAUUAUUCCCCUCUGGAAACAGCAAAAAAGCAUCCAUUAUGAGCAAAGCUUUGCAAGAGAAAGAAAAAAUAUGUAUGUUUUAAGACUCCAAGGAGCAAAACAUUUAAUGGGCAAGAGAGGCUAAUGUUUGCAAGUAUAUAAACAUUAAAACAUAGGCAGCCAACCACAGGGCUUCACAAGUGGGGAGAAGUGAAAGAUGAAACAUAGGUAGAUGGUUUAAAUAAAACACUAUAACUAGAUCCAGAAAAAUUUUUAUUUGGUAAUAUUUAUAAUCAAAUUUGUGUAAAACUCAAAUUUAUCUAUAUAGCAACUGCCACUGAACAGCAUUUCAAUUUAUUAAUUUAAGUAUGAAAUACACUAGAUUCCAUUAAUCAAGGAGAUAAUGUCUUUGACUAACAGAUGUUCUUUUUUUUUGCCAAAAAUAUUUCUCUAGACAAACCUAACCCAAAACAUUGCCACUUACAUUGAUGUUAUUUAUACUGAACUAUAAUGGCUCUGACAUGCAUAGCACAUGACCCUCCCUCCUACCUUUAUGCAUUGCUCCACACAAAGGAGCAAUCACAACAAUCACAACAAUAUUAGUAAAUAUAUUUCUAUUUGAAGAUGCUCUUUCCACCUGUUUACUGAGUUAAACUGCAGAUUUUACAAGGAUCCCAGAACAAGAGAAGGAUCUACAAAAGGUUUAGGUUUGAGGGCAACUUGCCCUGAUCCAGUAGAUACAAUUCCGUUUCAAGGUUGGAAGUGUAUGCUGCAUGAAAUCUCUUCUUCAUCCCAGAAAGAACAGAAUGUAGCUUCCUAGGGUUUUGGAGAAAGCGUCUCCUGUGUGCUGCAUUCUGUGGCCAAUAAUGGGCAAGAUAAUAAGUUCCAGGUGAGAACUAGAAUAUUGCAUUUCCAGGUCAAUGAAGAGUGUUGUGUUUGUUUAAUGACACCUGGAUGUUUCACUUGUAAAUAGAAACGUAUCUCCAGUGUUUGAAUGGUAUUGAGGUGCAUCCACAGUUGGAUAGGCUAUCAAAUCAUUGGCCCCUGGCUACCCUUUGGACCAAGCACCUAAAUAACUUAAUCUCCUAGGGAAAGGCUAUAGUUUGGAAGUCUCUUUUGUCUCCAGUUCUGGGAAGUUCUGAGCCCUCUCCUUCUAUGCUCUAUGUCUUACAUAUUAAGCAGUCAGUUCAGUUCCAUUCACUCUUUUGUCAGCUGAAGGAAGCCCCCAUUCCUACCUCCCAGUACUUUAUUUUAUUAAUAUAAUUUAUUUAUUUCACAUAAGUUAGGGUUGGGAAGACCAUCAUUCUCAUCAUAUUUGGAUUUUUGUCUACAAGUCAUUAUAUGGGCUUAUUAGAGGGAGAUUCCUUAGAAGAGUCUAUCCAGUGACUCUGUCAGUUUACUUGGUACCCCACAGUAUAACCUGGCUAUCUGAAAAGUGAAGUAGUCACCCAGGCUGUGCAUUCUAGGCCUUUUCUACUUUCAUUUCCUUUUACACAGAACAUGUGGCAUCCUAGCAACACUAUCCUAUCUUGGACUAAUGUAUUUAGUUUCAGAGAAAGAAGAAAGAUCAAAUCAGGAGAGCAUCAUUCCUUUCAUAUAGCUUAGCAAAUUCUAAUUCUUGUUGCCCACUCUUCUUCAUGGAGCCUGCUUGCUUCUGGGAAACUCCCUUCAAGACCAUUAAUUAUAACAAGAGAAUUCUAUCCUUGGUCUCUAGUUCAUCACAGUGAAUGCAGGAGACAGGUGACAACUUGGUAACCUGCAAUUUGAAUCCUGAUCAUUGAUGAGCUCUACCCCCUCCAGAAGACUUUCUUCUUAACUCCUCUUGGAUAUGUUUUUAAUCUUUGGUCCCUUUGUUCCUUUGAAGGCUAUGGUGGAUUUGGCUUUCUACACCAAAUUUUAAACAAAUGAGGACAAGUGACCCAAUAAAACAUUUAUCGCGCAUGGGAUGAUGUUUGUAAUGAGAAACUUCCGAUGUAGAAGGAUUAGUAGAUUUGUAGUUCCCCCUGAAAAGGCAAUGGAGAAGCACAUAUAUAAGGCAUCCAGAUAUCACAGUGGGAGCUGGUUGCUGGGCUGAAGAAGCACCAUCACUUGACCUGGACCACAGAUAGAGUAUUGCAGUCACAGCUCUAUGAUGUGGUAGGACUGACCUGCCACAGCAGUAUUUUCAGUUUGGAGACCACAAGCCCCUCUCCUAUUUAGGGACAGGGCGCCAUGCUUUGCAGUGGUAGAUGUAUGACAGAACCAAUCACUGGCUUCCAAUCCUGAUCCACCACUGCCUUCACAUUCUCACAGAAUUGAAUUCCUUACCUCUUUUCUGUGGACUGGUUUGAGUUUCCAAUUAGUCCUGCUCUGCAGUUACCCAAGCCCCUCUCGGGAAGAUCAGCCUAGAAGGAAUCAGCCUCGGAAAAGUUAAUUCUUUUUUCCUCUCAUUUAGAGUCUCUGAAAGGAAAUGUUGAGAAAGAUUAUGUGAUUUGAAAGAAACUACAGAACAAACUUUGGAGAUGACAUCUUCACAUGGUAGACGAAACUCUAUAAAAAAUAACAUUGUACUGAAACACUACAAGGGUUUGUAUAUUGAUGGUGUGGCAGCAAUGUGGGAGGUGUAAAAGCUUUACACAUUAAGUUCAAUUUGAAAACUCUGCAAUUGAAGUAUUACAUUUUUCUAUUCACAGAGACUCUUUAUAUGAAGGUUUGCCUGGAGUUCUGAAAUUCACAUUAAAUAAUGUCAGAAUGAUAAAUCUAUUAAAAUUCAAACCUCAACAUUGCAAUUCUAUUUGCAGCUUUAUUUCAAGAAAUAGGAUCAGAAAACCACACUCUACUGCUUCACAUUGAAAUAUGAUGUUUAUAAAAAGAAAAUUGUCAAGGGUUUGUGAAUUAAAAGAUGUGUGUGUGCGUGUGUGUGGUGACUGCAUCUGUGUGAUUAUCUCAGGAGAUACUACUGACAAAGAGUUAUUGACUUUCAAAAUGACUUACCUAAUGCAAAUUUUAGAACAUCCAAAUAAAAUUACAGAAAAGUAUAAGGACAUAUAUGUACAUAUGUGUGUGUGUGUAUGUAUAUAUGUAUGUAUGUAUAUAUGUGUGUAUAUACUAAAAAGGUUUGUGGAUUCACAGUCAAAAGUUAGCUUUGGAAGAAUGAAGGUAAAAAUACUUCCUGGAGUUCCCACUAUGGUGCAGUGGGUAAAUGAUCUGAAUUGCCUCUGUGGAGGUACAAGUUUGAUCCCUGGUCUGGGGCAGUGGGUUAAGGAUCCAGCAUUGCUGCAGCUAUGGCGCAUAGGUCAUAGCUCUGGAUCAGAUUUGAUCCCUAGCUUGGGAACUGCUAUAUG